UACGUAGGCAGCGAGCGUUGUUCGGAGUUACUGGGCGUAAAGGGUGUGUAGGCGGUUGUUUAAGUUUGGUGUGAAAUCUCCCGGCUCAACUGGGAGGGUGCGCCGAAUACUGAAUGACUUGGAGUGCGGGAGAGGAGAGUGGAAUUCCUGGUGUAGCGGUGAAAUGCGUAGAUAUCAGGAGGAACACCGGUGGUGUAGACGGCUCUCUGGACCGUAACUGACGCUGAGGAGCGAAAGCGUGGGGAGCGAACAGG
rnacentral:rRNA from 1 species